rnacentral:tRNA from 1 species
GCGCAGGUAGCCAAGCGGUAAGGCAAGUGAUUGCAAAUCACUUUAUCGUCUGUUCGAUCCAGAUCCUGUGCU